rnacentral:rRNA from 1 species
AGGGCACCACCAGGAGUGGAGCCUGCGGCUUAAUUUGACUCAACACGGGGAAACUUACCCGGCCUGGACACUGGAAGGAUUGACAGAUUGAGAGCUCUUUCUUGAUUCAGUGGGUGGUGGUGCAUGGCCGUUCUUAGUUGGUGGAGCGAUUUGUCUGGUUAAUUCCGAUAACGAACGAGACUCUAGCCUAUUAAAUAGGCUCUCGGCUUUUAAACGCCGGGAGGACUUCUUAGAGGGACAGGUGGCGGUUCAGCCGCACGAAAGAGAGCAAUAACAGGUCUGUGAUGCCCUUUGUUGUCCGGGGCCGCACGCGCGCUACACUGAAGAGAUCAGCGUGCUUUACGUUCCUGCUCCGACCGGAGUGGGGAACCCAGUGAACCUUCUUCGUGAUUGGGAUAGAAGAUUGUAAUUAUUCUUCUUGAACGAGGAAUUCCCAGUAAAUGCGAGUCAUAAGCUCGCGUUGAUUACGUCCCCGCCCUUUGUACACACCGCCCGUCGCUACUACCGAUUGAACGAUUU